ensembl:lncRNA
UGGGUAGUAGGCUAACCUGGUUCAUUUGCUGAGGUCCUGAAGCUUGAUGAUGCAUACAUAGCAAAUGAAACUUGUUUUCUCUCAUGCCAGGCAAAAAUCAUUGGCAGGAAAAUCACUCUUGGUGGUUGUUUGUUUGUUUUUUUUUUUUUUUUUUCCUACUGGAAGAUCUGAAGUGUUGACUGUCAUCUCAUGGCUCCUAUAUCAGACAGUGAGAUGAGACACAUAGCUCCAUAACCCCGGUGGCUCUGUCUGCUAAAAUUGAAGUGGCCUUGUUUCCCCGGAGCACUAUAUCUACAUUUGUUACCCGUAUCCUUAUAAAAACCCUUAUUAAUCACUUGCUAAUGCUGCUUGGUUUAAAAAAUGAUAAAAAAGGAAUGGAGGUGAUUCUUCUGUAUUCUCUGCUAAACCAUCAUUAAGAUGUGCUUUCACAUUCUCAAAGAAUUUCAAAUUUGAGUUCUGCUCUGGAGUGAGACGUACAGGACGUGUGUGUGUUGAUCAGCCAACAUUCAAAUCAGGAAGGGUUCUAAUGAGGAGUUUUGGGAUGCUGAUAUAUCUACAGAAUUGUGUUCUUUAAUUUUUCUGUCAUUUCCUCAUUAUGAAGCAGCUUGAGAAGCUGAACGGCAAACUGAGUGUGCAGCUUUUUUUUAAUGCUGGCACUGAGUACAUCUAGUUUAAUGUACUUCAAAGACAUAAUUCUCUGAACUUGGGAUGUGGAAGCUGACAUCAAGUGUGUUAUUUACCCAAUUCAUGCAAUAUGUCCAAGCACGUAAGAGAACUUUUAAUCUGUGUACAUAAAUAUAGAGAUACACGCACGUCUAUGAGUGAAGUAUAUUUUCUUAUGCAGCCAGGUGCCAUGUACAUGGUGCAUAUCCUAAAUGCACCGAGCUCUGGAAUCCUAGAAGGAAGAGGCACGUGUGCAUAUGAUUCAGCCCAUACUGAAGUGCUUCAGUAAUACAGAAUGUUCUUUAGCUUCUGUCUCUGCAAAUGUUGAUGCUUCUGUUGGUGUCUGGGCAGCAUGACUGUGAUUGGGUUUGGGGAGGAGGAGGAACUGAUGACUCCGGGUUUUUGAGGCCAACUUCAACUUUUGUUGAAGAGGGUCCUGCUGUGCUUCUUGUAGGCAUGAAAUACUUGAGCCUUUUUGUCGAUAAGUCUCAGAAACUUAGGUAGGAAAUGGGAUUUCCAGUAUUGGUGAUCAUCGCUGUUGACUUUACCUGUGAACUUGUACUGGUGCUCUUAGUCUAUUGACAGUUAUGCUUCUGUUGUUGAUGCACUGGUGAGGUGACUGAUUUAGCUCUUUCAACAACUGCCACCAGCACUACUCUCAAGAAUACACAAACAGGUUUACUGUGUGGCUUUGAAUUUGGUAUUGUACAGAUGUGAACUGUUCUAGCCCUCUGUAUGGGAAAGGUGGGGGUCUCUGUGGUGUAACAAACAUCCAGAUGGCAUAAGGAAUGGUCUAAUGCAAUCCAAAGGAAGUUAACUCACCUGAGUUUGUGCCUGCUGAUCUCUAGGAGUGUUCUUACUCUGUUUCAGUGGCUGCCAUUUGUUCAUGCAGAUGACACGCUGGGCCUCUUUGCCAUCAUGGUAUGAAUCUGUGCAAGGACUGCUCGCUGCCUUCUUGCCAUUUGUAGCGGCUGUAGAUGAAACUGAUAAAACAUUGCAGUAAAUAGCAGAGUACUAAACAUUGAACCAAGCUUGUUCCUGCAAGAAAUGAAGGAGAGGCAGCACUCGCUAUGUCAGUACUGUCCAAUACUGCUCACGAUAAAAGUCUUGGAUCCCUUCUGUAUAAGAAAGAGCUUUAUCCUUAAUUGCCUGCAGGACAUAGGAGAGCAGUACUAGAGGUAGGUAAGAUUUUUCUACACUCUAAAGAAGGUAAUUACACUUGGGGGGACAGAUAAGUUGAUUCCAGCUUUUAAAUUACUCUUCUACUCCAAGUAACUCUGGCUUUUAUUGGCAUUAAGAAGUCCGGGCAGUGUUGUCUUUGGCAUGCUCUUCUACUUGCAAGAUGUGGCAGAAGUUGGGCUCAGGACAGUGCACAAAGGUACUGCCGUGGAUUGGUAGAAUUACAAAAAUGAUGCGCUCGUGGCAUUUAUGAAGAAAAUGUUCCUUUUUCCUAGAAGUUAACUGUCUUCACCCCAUUUGGCUUCCAAGUAGCCAGAAGUUCAGUGCAGCAAAUCCUUUUUCUCCUUUUUCUAUUUUUUUUUUCCUAUGUGAUUUGAUGAUGGAAGUGUUGUCUGUGCUGAACUGGGAGGGACCCCCAAGAAAGGCCGAGUCCAACUCCUGGCUGCACAACUGUAGACAUAAAAUUAUAUUGGCUAAGAGUGGAUGCUGGGGAAAAUUAGCAAAGGAAUCUGUUUUACUGUGAAAUACAGCUUGUGAUCUAAAUUGAUUAGAUGGAUGCUCUGUUGCAGCUGAUCUACAUCCUGUAGGAGGGGAUAGCAGACUAUAUGCAGGAGGAGGAGAAUCCACUUUUAUUAAUGCAGUUGAAAUCAAAUACUUCAGAAUGAGUGACUGGGCACUCCCUGAAGUCGUGUUCUCCACCCUGCGCUUCUUUACUUUCAAAGAAGAAAAUAAACUUUUCUAUCAUUUACUGUAAUAAAAUAAUCUUUGAUAAAAUAAUCUGGGCAGGAACACCAAUGCAGACAGCAGACAAGUGAUUUAAAACAGAUGUGAAAUUCCCUCUGUGUAGAAAAUUAGAGGCACUGGUGAUGACAUUAGACACGUAUGACUAAUCAGAGUUAAUGCUUGCUGUUGCCAAUUAGCCCUAUUAGCACAAGCAAUUUGAGCACAGGAUGACAUUACUUUAAUUACUGCAAGCAGCUUGUUCAUUUAUUGAGCAGUGUGCAUUCAGAAAAGGCUUACUCUGUCUGCAGAUUAAUCAUAACCUUCUUCAUCAUUAGAAAUUCAGGAAAACUGAGGGAAGAAAGACUUCACCCCCAGAAAGAGGGAAAAUGGGGUGAUGGAAGACUGACGGUAAUUUGGGUAUUCUACUGCUAUCCUUUUUUUGAUAAAAAGACAAAAGCUAUUGUAUGAUUUCUGUCUGAAAUCUGUAUAUGAGUGGGACAAAAUUGCUGCCAUUAGAGUUAAGGCAGACAUUAUGACCAUUAGGUGGUAGCAAUGCAAAAAAAAAAGAAAGAAAGAAAGAAAAACCGUGUGAAGAUGUACAGCAAAACUAAGGCAGGACAGAGCUAGAGGAGGGAGAAAGCUGAGUAAGAAACCCAGAGCUUAUUUCCUGCUCCUUUAGCACACUCCAUUUUGCUACUCAUGCACAUGUGCUCUGGUUCUUUGGCACAGGGGGAAGAGUUUUUUCUCUUUUUUGGAGCAGUGGUUUUGCGUGGCUCCGUGCCACAGAGUGCUCUCAGGAUGAGUGUAUUUCUGGUCUCUUUACUGUGCUGAAGGUGGUGCUGCAGAGAUCUCCACAGCUCCAUUCCUGUGUUAAAGGGCAGAGGUAUGUACACAGUGGGGAUCCAAGUGAAAUAAACAGCAGGAUUGCAGAAGAUGGCAGCAGCUGACAGCCUCUGAACUUCCCCCCCCCCCCCCUUUUUUUUUUUUUUUCUGGUGGGGGUGUUUGGUUUUUUUGCUUUUAAAAUGAGGUCACUGCCUGAAGGUGUCUCUUCUCUGAGCACACAGUAUGCAGUGGUGCCUGAAAAGUUACCAUGCUUGGCAAAGGCUGGGAUUACAGCAGCACUAUUAAAAUAGCUGUGAGACGAGGAUGGGGCUGUAGGGACAAAGGCUGCUGCAUCUUCUGGGCUGCAGAGAGUAACUUCAGUUCUUCUUGCCAAUACUAGGGGGUAGAAAAUUUUCCAUUGUUAUUUUCAUUUUUUUUAGCCGUGGCACUACUACUGCAAUUCUGGUCGUGUUGUGAAAUCCCUACCUCUCUGCGGGGGCACAAAAAGCAUUGUAAGAGUCCUUUGUCCGUUUUAUUCGAGGAACAAACCCCUAAGGAGAAUGAGACAGUGCUUCAGCUUACAGUGUAGGAGAGGAUGCUGGGCUGCUGCAGGAAAGAGAAACGUCUACACGUGGGCCCCUAAAAGACUGAAGGUGCCCUAAUCCAUAAAGUGGUAUCUCCCUCAACUCAUUCUCCCCCUAUCCCAUUGUUAGAAGUCAUUUAUGUAGGAACGCAUGAAGAUGCAGUCCCGUGAGUGUGUGAGGAAUCCAGUAAACCCAUGAUCUCUAAUUUGCAUCACUCUAAUCACCGAAUUCAUAUUUUGAUAAGAGGGAGAGGAGGCAAGAAAGGAAGGAGCAGUGAAACUGCCGUAGUUAAAAUUGUUUCUAAAUCUACAUUUCUGUAGGGGUGAAACAGAACUUACCAAUUCUCCUUAUUUUGGCUGGGAUACAGUUAAUUUUGUCCUAGUACUGAUACAGUGCUGUGUCUUGGAUUGAGGAUCAGACUGAUGUUUAUAACACACCCAUGUUUUGGUUGUUGCAGAGCAGUGCUUGCAGUGAACCAAGGCACAGGCUCAAACUCUGCUAAGGCUUCUCAUGCUAUCCCGUAACUCUUUGAUGUGCACUGGCAAACCUCUAGUUUUUAUCAGGUUGCAUUUGCACAGGCUUUAGGGCUCUCUUAAGAGGGCAUUCACAGUGUAAUCUCCAUGCUUUGGCUGAUAGGAAGAAAUAACAUAAAAAUAUAUUGAAUUGUUUUCUGUGCUUGUUUAGCGACCUGCAGUAUUUGGCUGAUGGAGCGGUCAGCAGCACAUUAGGCUGUACUUACCUUAUGCAGAUUGUUUCUGUGACAGUGCCCUUUCCCAGUGCAGAGCUGCCCACCUCACUCACAUUAGUCACAAAUGCCUUUUGCUCCAUCACACCCAGCUGCAUUGCUCCUGAAACAAAUAAGGAACAUUCAAUGUAAUUAUAUUUCCAUAAAACUGAUACUUGUAUUUCCUUAGCUUUGACCUUUCGACUUUCCGGAGGCUUCCACCACCUUCUAUAUUGUUAAAGCUAUUUUCUCUGGCUCCAUUCUUAAAGUAAAAAUCUAAAUAAGCUUGUGUGCUUUAAAGCAGUCUGCACUGCCCUAUCUUAAGUCAGUUCUUGUGCACAGCACCAGGUUUGCUUUCCAAAUGCAAGCACAGAGUAGACAAAAAUGUAAAGAGGAGAGCUCAAAUACAAAGUAAGUGUGUAAAGAUACCAUUUUGAGCAAUUCUGAGUCAGCUGUUGAGUUUUCUAAUACCAUUCUCAUGUCACUUUGUUGUCAAUCUGUUGGCAAAUACCACUGGCACAGCAGCACAACCCAGGCCCUGAUAAUGGACACGUUCAGCUUUCUUUGGUUCCUUAACAUGUGAAAAACUGUUGCUGCUUGCACUGGACAGCUGUCUUAGCCUGUGUUGGACAAGGAGAGGCCAAUGGGCAGUUAGUAUCAAGUGCAAGUAGAGUUUUGACAUUUCACUGUUCUGUAAGAUUGUAUUAGUCUAAACAGCAGUCUUCUGUCUCCUUCUGUCUCUUAAAGUUUUUUUUUUUAGCUGUCCUGAUUUAAUUUCAGAAACUGACUGUAGUUUCCUCUUAGAAGACAGCAAAAGUUCAUCAUUAGUAGAACAUUUGCAUGCCAGCCUGCAACCUCAACUUGGUUUAUUUCUGGGCUUCUCAAGACACGGUCACUCUGCUGAAGGCGAUCCCACCCCUCCAUUAGCUUUUAAAACCCGGUGAUCAGUUACCGGAAUCCCCCACGGAUCAAUGAUGGGGCUGUCCUAGCAUUUGCAUAACUGAUGUGGAAGAGCACACAUGGAAGGGUGAGCAGGUUUGUCCUCCAACCUGAAAUAGAAGAGUGAAAUGGUUAGUCAUCAGCACAGUGUUAAAAAAAGAUUUUGCAACGCUGAAUAAAAACAGUCGAUAAAACGGCAGGUGAAGCUCUAUGUCAGUAAUAUCCCAGCAGUGUGCUUGGGGUUUUAGCACUCAUAACGUACAGAGCGAAACUUGCAGCUGCCACACUGAGCAAAAAGCCUCAGAAUUAUGUUUUAUUUUUGGCAAAUAGCAACGUUACGCUAGGUAGUAGUCUAAACAACUGGAGGGAUUUCAGAGUUUACUAGAAACAAGAUAAGGACCUUACCUCUAUGAAUCCAUUUGUACUCAAAUACCGCUUCCCUGCAAGCACGGAAAGAAUAACAGUAAAGGGUAUUGAGAGCAACAGCAAAGAUGAGCAAAGGUAAGAAACAUACACAUAUACACGUGCAAAACAUCUUCUGUCUUCUGCACUGAACAAAGGGACCGAGAACAUGAUGAAGACAGAGAAAAUCACAAAGAGAAAAUGAUGGAUUUCCUGCACAAGAAAUUAACUGUCAAGCCAUGAAUCUGUAAACUAUAUAAAGCUCAGGUUUAAAAGUGGUUAGAGAAGUUAAUGACAGCUAAUAAGAACAUCAGGUCUGCUCACUACAUAGAAAUCCUCCUCAGCUCAGGAGGCCCACGUGCCAGUUACCAAUGGGGGUAAUCAGGAGCAGGAUCCUUCCUCCUUCCUCCUGCCAUCUAUUACUGUCUCUCUGAGUCAGAUGAACUGCGGGUGCCUGCUUGGAAAAGUAAGCUGCGAACCACAUCUGUAUUAAAAGGAGGGCUCAAAACGUAGAACAUUUCUCACUUGUGUAAACAGCACUGUGUAUUAAUCACAGAAAUACUGGCAUAAUUGGACACUUUAAAGUACAAAUGGAACUUCUCUGUCAGCUGGUUUCAGAUUAGAUAUUAAUAACAUUCCAACAGUGCCUCCAGCUAGAGGGAAUGAGGCCCACAGCACUACUUGAUUAUUACUGUAUUUUCAUAUACUAUGCCUACAAGGAUAAAAAUUGGUUUGGAAGUGGAAGCUGAUUUUAGAGCCCUUUAACUCCUCACUGAGAUACAGCCCUCUUAUGGCUGUUGGAUGCUUUUGCCAACUACAGAUGAAGAAAUAUUGUAUUCUGAAAGUUAGAGCUUGCUGGCAUCUGACACUCCUUCCUUACAUUUGAGCUUUGUAGCUCCUUAGGCUCAGUAUUACCAUCACAACAGUAAGUUAAGCGUGCCAAAAUACAGACAGAUUGGCAUUAAGGCUGUUUUAAAAACACUGUUAUCCUUAAGAAAGCUUUUCUAUGCUUUGUGUCCCCUUUUAGACUCUAAAUACUGGUCAGAGUUUGGAAUAAAUAAUACAAUCUACGUCGUUAUGAUACAGCCCAUCUUCAUAGCAAAGAGCACAUAAAGAACCGUUUUCUGCUUAUUUUUCUGUUGACAAGUUCUGCAUUAGAAAAGCACUUACACAAAGCCAAGCUUUGCACAACAAUAGUUUUCCUACUUCUCCCAAUGCACGUUCCCUGCAAAUAGCUACGUUUUAAUUCCUUCCUGUUAAAAUUACUUCAUGAAUUUUGAUCCGUGAUGCAAUCUCCCUAGAAGCCUUAUAUCGUGAUGCUGAAUUGAAAUGAAAUGUUUCCAUACUACAUGAUAAAUACCCAAGCAUUGUUACGGAGAGCACCCCAAUGUUCUGAUAGAAUCCACACUUACCUACAUCCCAGGAUCAGCUAAGGUGAGGGUGGGUUACAAUGAACCUUACCGUGUGGGUUAUGAAGGUGAAUCCACAGAGCAGCUGAAAAAAUGUCCCGAAGCUUUACUUAAGCCUUCUGUGUCCUUUGCCAGAAGUGUGUUUCUGAGGAGCAGAAGGUAUUUCUGAGGGUGAAAGACAGGAGGGCAGGAGGUCAAAUUCCUUAACAGCCACAACACAUCAAAAAAAAUUGAUUUGGAAAAUCAAAAAAAGAUCAAAUUGUUGGCUUUUUUGGUAGCAUCUUUUGUAUAGCAUUCAUACAUACUGUGUAACCCUGUAAGAGUAACCAUAAAUAAAAAGCAUUUCUAGGAAACAUCAUACCAGUUAUUAAAACAUCCCCAAUUCUUUUAAGGCGUAACUACAGAAUAAAAGGGAAAACUUCAGUGACAGCUAUGGCUGGGAAGAAAAUAUGCUCUCAAGAUCAGGUACAGUAGCAGAUGACAGAUCAACCAGAGGCAGAGUAGGUCAGCAUCUCACCUGCAGUCUAGAUAGCGAUGGAAUCCACAGAGAGGAAUGGAGAUAUCUGCUCGUGUCACCUUGAGGACAGUGAUACUCAUCUGUCCGAUUCUGACAAUGUCUCUCUUUUUGUGUUGCUGUUUUUUCACUUAAAAAAGGAGCACUAACAGCAUGCACAAUUUCUGAAGAAUCAUCCGAGCCCAAGGCACUAGGGCUGCAUCCUUAAGCCAGGUGAUGGAAGUAUGGUUAUGAACAAUUUCAUGAACUGCAGAGUUAAUAUUUACUGUUAUAAAUAGUUAUUAUUCUAUAACUAUUUCAGCAAAAUUCAAUAUGAGGGCUGGCUGAGGAACCAGACUGUGCAAUAGAACAGAGCCCAGAAAACAGAGCGAUAAGGAUACAUAGAUAUGCCUACAGACAAAUGUAAUCCACUUUGCUUACAGUGGGAUUAGUCUGCAGCUAAGAGGACUAUUUUACUAUUCAACAUUUUCAAAAUAGUCCAUGAAUUAGGACUUUGUUUUAAAAGUGCUGGCUUGAGAAAUGAUUAGCAUGCUUCUUAAUAGCCCAGAAUGACUCACAAGGCAUUGUGGUUGACACCAAUUGCAUUUUAAAGGUCUUCAUCUACAGAAGGCUAAUAAAAAAUAUUUUAGAUGCAUCUAAAUAUUGAAAUGGCUUUGAAAUCAUUAAAUUUUCCCUAAGUAUCACAUACAUUCUGCAAAUAAGAGUUAAUGCGGGAAUAAAAAGCAAAUAAAGUAAGCAAGCUAACCACAAAUAUACUUAAAAUGAGUAAAUUUCAUUUAUAUAAACUACGAAUGUCAUUUUCUAUCUGUAGACCACGCAGCGAUAAGUGGCAGAUAAAUGUGAUGUGCUUUAAAGAUACGGUAACAAUUUCUGAAACCAAGAUCAAGAUGUCUGUUAUGAGAAAAAUCAGAGAAAAGAAAAUGAUUUGCCUAUUUCUAACAUCUGAGCUUCAGAUCAGAAGAAAGCAGAGCUGCCACUUCAGAAGAUAAGCAUUUUAGAUUUCAACAACUACAGUAAUUGCUUGCAUUGUGCACGCAGGAGAUAUAGGAUCUGUGCAGUGAAGGAAACCAGAUAAUACGAGGCAGGUCACUCCUGCCUAUGGAGUUAAUGAUGGAUUUUCCAGCAUUUUAUCAUUAGCUGUCUUCUCGGUGCUUGAGUUACAACUGAAAAAGGGCCUGGGGAAAAUACAGCAUUUUUUACAGUCACAGUCUAAAAUCUGAAACCACAUCUGUGGUUUAUUCCAGAGAUGCAAUUCAAUGCAAUCUUAGGACAGCACAAAAUAAGUUUUGUUUUGUUUUUUUAAACUUUACAGUGAUGGUUUUUCUGUUAACAAGCAGAUUUUCUUCAUAUCGAGGCCUACAACUAACUAAAUGUAGUCAGCAGUAACAUUCUGCAGAAUUAUUUUGAAAAGGUAUUAUUGGCUGUUGCAGCCUCACUUACGUGGUAAAUGAAUAUAAGGAUGAAAAAUAGUCAUUCAUAGAAUCAAAUCAAAGGCAUAAAUGUCCUUUCACAGAUGGGACAGUUAUCACUCUGUUCAUCUAAUCGAGAUGACAGUAUGGAAUAUGGAACAAACCUGGGGUGACCCAGUUCAAAAAUAGGCAAGUAAAAACAGUUGAAAAGCACUUAUCUCAGUUCAUCUUGCAGCACAGUCAGGUUUCUGCGAUGCAUCCCGGUGUCUCCUGCUAAACGAUACAGCAGAAGCACUUGCAUUGCUUUCCCUGCAUUUUACAAUGAUUUCUUCCAGCUACUUAUGGCCAAAUUUAGCUCUAGAAGCACCAAGAGUUUCAGCAAGUACUUACCAGCAAGCUGUUUGCUGGUAGGGCUAAAAUAGAUGCUAUUUUAAUUUUGAUACGCAAGACUUGAAAGAUUAUGAGCUACAGCUUUUUCAGAUGCCACAUUUCAUAACCCACCAUCAUUCUCCACUUUGAGCAAAGUCUCAUUUCAUAUUUGACUUGAAUUUGAGUGAAAAUAACUACUGAUUUACAAAACUACUAGACUGUUCUACCUAUAGCAACCAACAGCCAUGAGUCCCACUCAGCAGGGCCCCAGGUAGAGACAGGCUAACAUAAUGGGCCAGAAUAUCAAUUACCAGCAGAAAUUCUUGAAUGGAAACUACAUUUAUGUGAACUAAGCAAAUGUUUUUGGCAAGGUUCUCCAGGAAACUGGUGCAGACUAUCAGCAACACCAGCUAAAUAUUAAGAAUACUGAAAUAUAUUGAUCUUGGUUUUGGAUAUUUUUGGAUUUUACUUUGAUGCAACGUUGAAGAGUUAUCCGUAUUGAACAGACAUCAUUAAAAAUUGCCUCAGAUCAUCUCUGUAUAAUUGAGAAUAGAACAGAGCCUUGUGCAACCCCUACACCGCAAGUCAGGCAAGGACUGAAAUAAGGGUACUUACAUAAGAACCAGUUGUUCAAGUUACAUUACAGUUUGCACCCUAAUGUCCACUAGCGGUAUUGAAGAGGUGGUGCUUACACAACUGCUGGGCUUACAUGCCGCUGCCUGCACAUUGGCAAAAUACAUCCUACUCCUCUUUUCCUCGUAUUUUGAGAAAGAAAAACUUUAAUGUUUUUCCUUAGUCUAGGGGGCAGCCUGCCAGCAAAAAGACAACUUUCUCUUCCCACCUUUCUAUGGAACCACUUUUGCUCAACCACAUAAUUCAAAAAACCAUCUACAGUCUUAAAAGUAAUUUACUGAGACCAUUACUGAGGUCCUACUAGGGACCAUUCUUCUCACAGAAUAGCAUCUUGUGACUGAGAAAUCCAUCAAAACGUAGUUUUUAAGUAUGAGGUUUCUUGUGUUAGGACUUUGAUGAUGAAACAUUCCCUGCGACCUUCAGCAGAGACUAAAUUUACCAACUUCUAAAGACUGGAGUAAACCAUUUUGAUUAGCAAACGACAGAUGAGAAAGCAAGGGUCUAUUUUUGUGCAGAUAUCCUUACCCUCUAGCAGAGGUAGUCCUUCUGACCGCCCACAGCAUUUCUUUCCUUUGUUGAAUCACAUGAGGGUGAUGCCAGAUGCUGCAGUUACUGAUAGAAAUUCUUUUCACAGAGAUGCAUUAAUGGUAUCCUGGACAUAUAAAGAAAAAUAAACUGGAAACAGAAUAAAAUUAUUCCUAUUUUUAUCAUGCUAGCAAAAUAUACCUUGAGAGAAGUGUUUAUCACCAAAACAUUUAGGAAAUUGUGCAUUAACACUUCAAGAGGAAAAUGCACAUUUACCUUUUCAAGACAGUAGAUACCUAAUGAAAAACAGGCAUAAGUAUUUUAAUAGUCCAUAAUUUUUCUUGUUUUUCCAGUAUAUGCAAGCUUAUUUGAUAAAUAUUAUUCAAUUACAAAAGAAAACUAGUAGGCUAGCUGUCUGCCAGGCAUAUUUCUGAUUUUUUCUGGUUUAUUUAAUUUGCUUUAUUUGAUUAUUUAGGGAAAAAGGAGCCUGUAAAUUUUCAGUAAUAAUUGAACUGCGGUGCUGUGAGAAAGAAAGAAGGGAAAGGGGAGAGGGGAAGAAGGUGUGGAGGGAGGAAAAGAAGAAAGGAAAAAAAUAAAAUGCAAAGACAUACCUGAUCUUCGAACUAAUCUGAAGGAAAAUAUGCGUUUGUUUUAGCUCAGCAUUUGUAAAUUGAAGUUAUUACAAUUCAGGUGAAGAAUUGAUGUACUUCCAUAUUCUAUGUCAAAAAAUAAAAGAAGUGUAAUCUUACUCUGCAGGCUAGCUUACCAAGUCAGGAAUUUGUGGCUGAUGUUCUGAAGAACAAACUUAUACUUCUGUGAAACAUGGAGUCUUUAAAAAAAAUGAUAUGUAAAUAUUAAGCAAGUUGUUGAAUUCUUUUUUGAGACUCCUAAGACAAGACCAUACCUGCUCAUACUGUCAGAUGGGAGAGAAAAGUGCUAGCUUAAAUAUUCAGAAACACUUUCUUGAGGAUCUACUGAUUCCUAAAUCAGGUACUUACCAACCUGAAAUUAUACAGUAUGAAAAUCACCUGUUACAAAAAUGAAUUAUGGUUUUGAAUACAGACAUCUCAAUCUGUGCAUCAUCUCUUCUUGAAACUAUAAAUAGCUUGAAGUAGUACUUCCAAAAGAGUUACAAAUCACUCUUACUUUACUUCCAUUGCCAGAUGAAUACAGUAUUGUAAACUAAGAUGGCUGUCAUUUCACUCUGAUUUGCUACCUACAAAAGAAGCAAUCCAAUAAGAGUGACUGGGAAAGCAGUAAAUUGGUAACUUUUCUCCUGUUACGUACCUAAGCACGAUAAAAAUCAAAAUAAGAAUGCUGACUCAAACUGAAAACAUGAAUCACAAAACCCUCUGAUGCCAUUCUUAAAGUGUUCAUCAAGAGAUGAAAGCUGAUAAAACGUGCCCAUAGAACAGUAUUUGUAAACGACCAGUCAGAUGGUUGUUCAACAAAGUAAUUAGUUUUUCUCUACUUGGCAAGUGGAAUAAGCAUUAUCAGAAAACAGACUCUCAAACAAGAGGGCUGAAGUCUGAGACCAGGCUCAAAAACCUACUGGAGAUCAAGCCCUCCACACCAUUCUAUCUCUGACUACUCGCAGGUACAGAAAUGUGUUUACUUCCUUGUUUUAAUAGCAGCAAAGGUUUCUGCUGCAUUUGAGAUUUUUGGACUGCACCUCCAGCAAGAUGGUUUUGCACCUGAGAGCUGCCUUAAAUAAAACUGCUUCCUUCCACCCAAGGACUCCAAACACAACAUACUGAAUGAAAAACAUUACAAAAUAUAACAAUGAUUAGCCAUUAAUUUUUUCUUCACUUAGUAAAAAUCUAUGAGAAUACAUUAACACCUUCAACUACAGAAAUAACACACGUCCCACUUCAUAUUACUGUACUUACUAUUGUACUACACACGUGUUUCACAAAGACAACUCUGGCUUUGGAAGUUCUGCUGUAAAAAUUCGGAUCCUGAUUGGGAAUAGGGAAAAAGACCUACGUCUGCCUACACAAAAACAGUGAUCAAAAAGAAAAAACAAUUAUUUCUUCAAGCUAACCCUUGAAAGUCAAAGCUACAGCACUUGGAAUACCUUUCCAUCUGUGAACACAUAAGAUGAUCCCUUUUCCCUUGAAAAUGCAGCAGGCAAAAUUACUUGCAGUUUUGGUGAAUUAUGCGUGUGAUGCACAACUACUCCCUCUCUCUCAUGCACAAAUGCGUCAGCUUGCUGCAGCCCCACCAUCUGAAGGGGUAAGAAGCAAAUUCAAUCUGUUUGGACUGCACUUGUUCAGUUCUUCCUCAUCCAUCCUGGAAAUGCUAACAGCCCAGAUAGAAAUUCCAGCUGGAACUCAGGGUAUUGCAAUCAACUGGACACAUAUUAUCGCCAAAAGCAACAGGAGGGGCAGACAGACUGUGGAAGGGUUCUGCCCUGGUGACGAUACACAACUCUGUAAUUCCUAUACUUAGCCCUGAUGAAUUUUUCCUUACAUCUGUGGGAAGAAUCACAGGUUGACCAUAGGAAACACCGUGGUCUGCAUGCUAAAGAAGAUGGCAUGCUGCCCUGACUUAGAGAAGACAUAAGCAAGAGCUUACUGUGAUCUUAUUCUCUGAAGGCAGUUUGUUACUGUUUUGAAUGUUCACCAUUCCUGUCAAAGCACUUUAGUCAUGCUUUAUGAAGAAAAAACAGGAUACACCAAUCUCAUUUUUUUGUACACCAAGCUGUAAAGUUUUUGAGAUUACAUUUCACUUGACAGAAGACAUUUUGAAAUACACACAAAAAUUCAAAAGGAGAAAUAAAGAUUGAGAGUGGUGCAAAGAUAUGUAUCUAUGAAUCAAGAGAUCGGGUUCAGUUGUAGCAAAGGAG